rfam:Trichobilharzia regenti genome assembly, scaffold: TRE_scaffold0001339
AUACCGAUGAAGAGUCCCAAACUAGGACGAAACAGCUGUCCAGUAC